rnacentral:rRNA from 1 species
AACGAACGCUGGCGGCAUGCCUAACACAUGCAAGUCGAACGAGACCUUCGAGUCUAGUGGCGCACGGGUGCGUAACGCGUGGGAACCUGCCCUUAGGUUCGGAAUAACUCCCCGAAAGGGGUGCUAAUACCGGAUAAUGUCUUCGGACCAAAGAUUUAUCGCCUUUGGAUGGGCCCGCGUUGGAUUAGCUAGUUGGUAGGGUAAAAGCCUACCAAGGCGACGAUCCAUGGCUGGUCUGAGAGGAUGAUCAGCCACACUGGGACUGAGACACGGCCCAGACUCCUACGGGAGGCAGCAGUGGGGAAUAUUGGACAAUGGGCGAAAGCCUGAUCCAGCAAUGCCGCGUGAGUGAUGAAGGCCUUAGGGUUGUAAAGCUCUUUUACCCGGGAUGAUAAUGACAGUACCGGGAGAAUAAGCUCCGGCUAACUCCGUG